rnacentral:tRNA from 1 species
ACUGGAGUGGCUCAGUGGUAGAGUGCUUGCCUAGCGUGACAGAAGCCCUCAGUUCAAUCCUCAGAACUGUAGUA